AAGGGAGACCUAAUUCGGGUAGGAGACGAAAAAAAAGUAGUCCCUACCAAGAAUCAAUCCCAAAAGGUCGGAACGAGGUAUGAGGCUUUCAAACUAGGUUCUGGGUUCAUAAAAGACCUGAAUCAGGAACAAGGGCUAUUAGCUCAGGUGGUUAGAGCGCACCCCUGAUAAGGGUGAGGUCCCUGGUUCGAGUCCAGGAUGGCCCACCUGCACAGGUGGCAAAAACAAGAGAAGCUCCGAAUCAGCACCUUAUCUUAUAUACAUAUAUAAGAGAGAAUGCUGGCUCUGAGUACAGAGUCCAGAGGAACCUUGAAAACUGCAUAGAGCUAGGUGAAAAAGCCAAAGAAGAAGACCGCAA
rnacentral:tRNA from 1 species